rnacentral:rRNA from 1 species
AGAGCUUUUGAAGGAUGCCUUGGCGAUAAGAGGCGAUGAAAGACGUGGUAGGCUGCGAUAAGCUACGGUGAGGUGUCUACACCCUUUGACCCGUAGAUUUCUGAAUGGGGAAACCCACUGAAUUAUCAGUACUCCGAAAGGAGAGCAAACCCGGUGAACUGAAAUAUCUAAGUAACUGGAGGAAAGGACAUCAAACGAGACUCCGCUAGUAGUGACGAGCGAACGCGGACCAGGCCAGUGUUUUAAAUGUAAGAACUAGAAGGAUUUGGAAAGAUCCGCCAUAGAAGGUGAUAGCCCUGUAUAGGUAGAAAGCAUUUAAAAACUUGAGUAAGGCGGGACACGUGAAAUCCUGUCUGAACAUGGGGGGACCACCCUCCAAGCCUAAGUACUACUUAUCGACCGAUAGUGAACAAGUACCGUGAGGGAAAGGUGAAAAGAACCCCAAAAAGGGGAGUGAAAUAGAAUCUGAAAUCAAAAGCUUAUGAGCAGUCGGAGCACGACCAGCAAUGGGAUGUGUGACGGCGUACCUCUUGUAUAAUGGGUCAGUGAGUUAGUGUAUCUAGCCAGGUUAAGCCGAUAGGUGUAGCCGUAGCGAAAGCGAGUCUGAAUAGGGCGCCAAGUUAGAUGCAUUAGACCCGAAACCGAGUGAUCUAGCCAUGAGCAGGUUGAAGUUGGGGUGAAACCUAAUGGAGGACCGAACCCAUUCCUGUUGCAAAAGUAUGGGAUGACUUGUGGUUAGGGGUGAAAGGCCAAUCAAACUCGGAAAUAGCUGGUUCUCCGCGAAAUCUAUUUAGGUAGAGCGCUAUUCGUUUAUCAUUGGGGGUAGAGCACUGAAUAGGCUAGGGGGGCCCAAAGCCCUACCAAACCUAACCAAACUCCGAAUACCAAUGAACAUAGAGUAGUAGACAGGCAGUGGGUGCUAAGGUCCAUUGCCGAGAGGGAAAAAGCCCAGACCGCCAUCUAAGGUCCCCAAGAUAUAGUUAAGUGUGAAAGGAUGUGGGAAUGCCAUGACACCUAGGAAGUUGGCUUAGAAGCAGCCACCUUUUAAAGAAAUCGUAACAGAUCACUAGCCUAAUAGCAAUCCUGUGCCGAAAAUGUAUCGGGGCUAAAACUAUACACCGAAGAUGCGGGUUUAUGUUGAACGAGAGUCAACAUAAGCGGUAGCGGAGCGUUGUGUAAGCCGUUGAAGGUGUACCGUAAGGUAUGCUGGAGGUAUCACAAGUGAGAAUGCUGACAUGAGUAGCGUAAAGAGGUGUGAGAAACACCUCCGCCGAAAGUCCAAGGGUUCCUGCGUAAAGUUAAUCUGCGCAGGGUUAGCCGACCCCUAAGGCGAGGCCGAAAGGCGUAGUCGAUGGGAACCACGUUAAUAUUCGUGGGCCUGCUAGAAGUGACGAAGUCAAAGGAUUGUAUCUGGUUAUUGGAUUCUAGAUGCAGUUUCAGGCUUCCAGGAAAUAGCUCUAGCAUAUAGAUCGUACCCCAAACCGACACUGGUGGACUGGUAGAGUAUACCAAGGCGUAGAGAGAAUGAUGCUGAAGGAACUAGACAAAUUGUACUCGUAACUUCGGAAUAAGAGUAGCCUCGCUUAGGCAACUAGGUUGAGGUGGCACAAACCAGGGAGAAGCGACUGUUUAUCAAAAACACAGGGCUCUGCAAACUCGAAAGAGGAAGUAUAGGGUCUGACGCCUGCCCAGUGCUGGAAGGUUAAAGUAAGGUGUGCAAGCUCCGAGCUGAAGCCCCAGUAAACGGCGGCCGUAACUAUGACGGUCCUAAGGUAGCGAAAUUCCUUGUCGGGUAAGUUCCGACCUGCAUGAAUGGCGUAACGACUUCUCCAUUGUCUCCAGCAUCAACUCAGCGAAGUUGAAUUCUCCGUGAAGAUGCGGAGUUCCCGCGGUUAGACGGAUAGACCCCGUGAACCUUUACUACAACUUUGCAUUGGUAUUAGGGAUUUAAUGUGUAGGAUAGGUGGGAGACGGUGAAGCUGGGACGCUAGUUCUGGUGGAGUCAACCUUGAAAUACCACCCUUUAAAUCUUUGAUAUCUAACCAAGUGAUCUGAAUCGAUCACUGGGACCAUGCAUGGUGGGUAGUUUGACUGGGGCGGUCGCCUCCGAAAGAGUAACGGAGGCGUGCGAAGGUAAGCUCAGGCUGGUCGGAAAUCAGCUGUUAGAGUGCAAUGGCAUAAGCUUGCCUGACUGCGAGACUGACAAGUCGAGCAGAGACGAAAGUCGGUCAUAGUGAUCUGGUGGUUCUGUGUGGAAGGGCCAUCACUCAACGGAUAAAAGGUACUCCGGGGAUAACAGGCUGAUCACUCCCAAGAGUUCAUAUCGACGGAUGUGUUUGGCACCUCGAUGUCGACUCAUCACAUCCUGGGGCUGGAGAAGGUCCCAAGGGUUCGGCUGUUCGCCGAUUAAAGUGGUACGUGAGUUGGGUUCAGAACGUCGCGAGACAGUUCGGUCCCUAUCUGCCGUGGGUGUAAGGAAAAUUGAGAGGAUCUGUCUUUAGUACGAGAGGACCGAGAUGGACAUACCUCUGGUGUACCAGUUGUUCUGCCAAGGGCAAUGCUGGGUAGCUAAGUAUGGAAGGGAUAAACGCUGAAAGCGUCUAAGCGUGAAACCCACCUCAAAACUAGUUUU